rnacentral:other from 1 species
AACCAGCUGGAACACUCGCUACUCGCCAUUAUUUUUUCUACAAAUCAUAAUUAAGGGAGUCUUAUAUCCUUUCCCGCCGUGGCAGGAGAGUGCGGACACCCACCUGGAUAUCAGGGAUAAUGAUUCUGGCGGUAGACGGUGUUUUGGUGUUUUU